rnacentral:ncRNA from 2 species
GGAGCAGCUUCUGGAGAGAACGCAAGAAUUUUGCGGCGCCGAAGGGUUCACAAUCUCAGGCAAAAGGACAGAAGAGUACUG